ACGGAGGGUGCAAGCGUUGUUCGGAAUCACUGGGCGUAAAGGGCGCGUAGGCGGUUUGAUAAGUCAGAUGUGAAAGCCCACGGCUUAACUGUGGAAGUGCAUUUGAAACUGUCAGACUUGAGUAUCAGAGGGGAAAGUGGAAUUCCCGGUGUAUAGUUGAAAGUCGUAGAACUCGGGAGGAAUCCCGGUGGCGAAGGCAACUUUCUUGCUGAAUACUGACCCUGACGCGCCUAAGCGUGGGGAACCAAAAG
rnacentral:rRNA from 1 species